AGACCCAGUGGGGCCGAGACCCAGGGCCGGCUCUGCAGAUGCUGCCCGUGCUGCUGCCACCGCUGCUGCUGCUGCUGCUUAGCUGGCAGCUGUGGCUCCAACUCAACCUCUAGCCUGGGAACCUCCACGUGCCGCGGGUGCGGCCCUAAAAAGACCAAAAAAAAAAAAGAAGAAGAAUAACGAUGCGCUGGUUCAGCCUCAUCCAAGCAGGUCACACAGGAAUCCAGUGCAGGCCAUCUGACCUCAGGCUGGAGGGCUGAGAGGACCCGGCCACGUGGCCUUGGCAGGCAAGCAUCUUUCUGGACAGCCGGUACCGCUGUGAGGGGGCCCUCAUUUCCCCAGAGUGGGUGCUGACAAGUGCCAGCUGCUUUGGCAGCUGGCCGCUGGCCCUCUUCAGCGUGACCCUGGGCCCAGAUCGGCUGGCGCUGGACACUUGUGGCAGCAAGGCCAGCGUGGAGGCGCUGCUCCUGUCCCCAGGAGGGCCCAAGGCCUCGGGAUCUGGUGCCCUGGCCCUGGCUCGGCUGGCAAGGCCACCAUCUCUCAGCAGUGCCAUAUGGCCUAUCCCUCUGGCCACCCGGGCCCCAGGGGCGGAUCUGCUGGGCCCAAGGCUUUGAUCCUGACUUGGACCCCCACGCCCCACCCCCAAGGCUGGAGAGCACCCCCCUGAGGCUGCUGCACACCAACACCUGCAGAGACACCUUCCGCCUCCAGCCCGACUGUCCGGACCUGCAGGCCCUCCUGCCCAAGGGCUCCCGGUGUCUGAUGGGAGCCCCCUGGUCUGCUUCCAAGCUAGCAGCUGGCGGCUGGAGGGUGUGAUGACCUGGGGUCCCUGCUCCCGGCCUGGCCUCCCUGAGGUCUACACACGUGCCUGUCCCCUCAUUUCUUGGAUUCGGGAGACGGUCUCCAAUGCCACCUUCGAUACCUCAGCCAAGAUGCACUCUUGGGACCGGCCCAGGACCAGGCAGAGGAGGCAGUGAGGGUCCUUCGGGAGUUCUGGGUUUGAAACCUGGCUCAGCUCCUUACCUGCUGCUGCGAUGGUGUCCCAGUCACCUCCCUUCUGAAUCUGCUUCCUCUUUUGUGCAACGGAGAUGUAUUCAAUUAUUCAGUCGUUCCACAGCUGCCACAUGCUCCCUACACAAGGUUGCUACAGCCCCUGUGCUCAUGGAGUCUGGGGGGCGAGGCGAGCAUUAGCCAGCGCUCUCACAAUAAUAAAUGUGCAAAUGCGAA
rnacentral:lncRNA from 1 species